rnacentral:rRNA from 1 species
GACGAACGCUGGCGGCGUGCCUAAUACAUGCAAGUAGAACGCUGAAGGAGGAGCUUGCUUCUCUGGAUGAGUUGCGAACGGGUGAGUAACGCGUAGGUAACCUGCCUGGUAGUGGGGGAUAACUAUUGGAAACGAUAGCUAAUACCGCAUAAUAGCAGUUGUUGCAUGAUAACUGUUUGAAAGGUGCAAUUGCACCGCUACCAGAUGGACCUGCGUUGUAUUAGCUAGUUGGUGGGGUAACGGCUCACCAAGGCGACGAUACAUAGCCGACCUGAGAGGGUGAUCGGCCACACUGGGACUGAGACACGGCCCAGACUCCUACGGGAGGCAGCAGUAGGGAAUCUUCGGCAAUGGACGGAAGUCUGACCGAGCAACGCCGCGGGAGUGAAGAAGGGUUUCGGAUCGUAAAGCUCGGUUGUAAGAGAAGAACGAGUGUGAGAGUGGAAAGUUCACACUGUGACGGUAUCUUACCAGAAAGGGACGGCUAACUACGUG